rnacentral:rRNA from 1 species
UACGAAGGGGGCUAGCGUUGCUCGGAAUCACUGGGCGUAAAGCGCACGUAGGCGGAUCUUUAAGUCAGGGGUGAAAUCCCAAGGCUCAACCUUGGAACUGCCUUUGAUACUGGGGAUCUCGAGUCCGGAAGAGGUUGGUGGAACUCCGAGUGUAGAGGUGAAAUUCGUAGAUAUUCGCAAGAACACCAGUGGCGAAGGCGGCUCACUGGUCCGGUACUGACGCUGAGGUGCGAAAGCGUGGGGAGCAAACAGG